GACUGACCGCACUAAUGCAGAAUGAAAAUAUAACGAAAGCACCACUAAAUAUUCGCCUAAGAUUGGUGUGCUCAAAUAAUUACCUCAGAUCGACAGGCAUGGGAGUUACCUCAGAUCAGCAUACGCACCGCAAGUAAAGACAAGGUAAGAAAGAAAAUAAAUUUUAUUUAAUCCUUCAAAAGCUUUUACAAUAACUCCGAAAGGUCCAAGAUAUAAAAAGAAAAGAAAACAAGAGCUUAAAAGGCAACAUUCGGAGCUAAGGCACC
rnacentral:lncRNA from 1 species